GAUUUCUGGUUUAAUGCACCUGGCCCGCGGCCACUAGGCUUGUGAGUGCCGGCGCGCGUUUACCAUCCUUCUAGAAAACGUUUCUGCCAUUAACUUGGUUGGGAAUGCGAUCUAGAUCUUUUACUUUGAAAAAAUUAGAGUGUUUAAAGCAGGCUUUUGCUAUGAAUACAUUAGCAUGGAAUAAUAAUAACUGAAGUAAUGAUUGAUAGGGAUAGUUGGGGGUGCUAGUAUUGGCCGGCCAGAGGUGAAAUUCUUGGAUUCGGUCAAGACUAACUUAUGCGAAAGCAUU
rnacentral:rRNA from 1 species